CACUCCGCAAGGGGUGGCGCACGGCUCAGUAACACGUAGUCAACCUACCCUGGGGACGGGGAUAACCUCGGGAAACUGAGGCUAAACCCCGAUGGGCCAUGGCUCCUGGAAUGGGCUAUGGCUGAAAUCUACAUGGCCCCAGGAUGGGACUGCGGCCGAUCAGGUUGUUGGUGGGGUAAUGGCCCACCAAGCCUAUAACCGGUGCGGGCUCUGAGAGGAGGAGCCCGGAGAUGGACACUGAGACAAGGGCCCAGGUCCUAUGGGGCGCAGCAGGCGCGAAACCUCCGCAAUGGGCGAAAGCCCGACGGGGUCAGUCCGAGUGGUUCCCGCUGAGGGAACCUUUUGCCAGCUGUAAACAGGCUGGCGAAUAAGGGGUGGGCAAGUUUGGUGUCAGCCGCCGCGGUAAUACCA
rnacentral:rRNA from 1 species